CCCCUCUGAAAUCUUCCCGCCCCGAUUUUUUUUAUUUUAGAAAAAAAUACGAUUUCCGGAUUUUGUUCAUUUCCGAUACCGGUAUCCGUCGAUAAUUUCGUUUCAUGUAAAACUUCCUGUUUCAAAUUUCGGUUUUCGUAUUUCUUAGCGUAUUCUUACUGAAUGAUUAAGUUGAUAUAUUCUGCUGAUCUAUGAUGACAAUAUCAUUUACCGAGAAUAGAGAUUGAUUACGAGAAGGGCGUGAAAUAUUCGGGUUACGAGUAAUACGCUGUGUCCAAGAACGCAAAUCGCUGUAUGUCACAA
rnacentral:lncRNA from 1 species